GACAGAGAUAGAGACACUCUAUUCAACUCUGUUUGUCUCGCAAAAAACCCGGAUUUUCUUGAUCUUCCAUAGUGACGUUUUUAACUAACGACUAACGACUGGAUCACUCAAUUCUAUAGACGGUCUUCCCUACCGAGUGUCGAGACUUAUUUACAUGAUCAUCAUAUUGCAAUUUGUUCUCUGACAACAGCUGAUCCAAUUAUAUGGCUCAAUUGUUUGGUGUUCAAAUGCUUUCGAUAGAUGUCGGCAUUGAGAAUAGUAUUCCGCGGCUAUAUUUUUCACACAUAGUUGCAAGUGAAACGUACGUACAUGUGUUUUUUGACUCCUGUCAUAUGCUGUCAAAAGAAAAAAUAUACGUGAUUGUCUUACAGGAUACAGAAUUUUAUUACAUGGGAAUAACAAGCAGAUCAUUUGGAAACUUAUUUGCUUCUUUAAAACAUUUGAAAUCCGCGAGGAAAAUACCACAAAUGUCCAUUACGCAAACUAGGAUGUCUGAAUAAAAUCGCACGAGAAAAGCAUGACAGGUUGCUAAUGGAAAGAGAAAUGCGCUUAAGAGAAGAAGACGUUUCGAAAGAUUAGAAAAGAGAAAUGAGUGAACGAAUGUUAUUAAUACACAGGACACAUUACUACCAAACAACUAUGUGGCAGCGAUAGAAUCAGAGAUCGUGUCUCACUAUUAUGAGACAGCACACGAAAUGGAGAUUAGUGCAGCACGAAAAAGAGAUAGAAACGAUAGAAAGCAAUUGGGUGUACAGUCAGAAACAUUCGCAAGAAGGAAAUAUAAAGUACAAAGCAAGAUUAUUCGCAGUAGGACGCAACUAGAAAUCGGAAUAAAUUACGGCGAAUCAUUCGCUCCUGUCAAACGAUUGGACACAGCAAGGACUAUGCUGGCUCUAACAUCGAUUAAUCGAAUGAAAAUCAAGCAAUCUAACGUCAAAUCGUCAUACUUAUACAGAAAUAUAAAGGACAUGGCAUAUAUGGAACAACCACUAGGAUUUAUAACCGACGGUAACAAAGUAUGGGAGCUAAAAAAACGCACAUAUGGAUUGCCUUAAUCUGGAUACCAUGGGAUACUAUAUAACACAAUUUGAAGGAGAAUCGUGUGCAUAUAAAUUAAGGGACAGAAGCAACCGAUCGUUGUAAUAUACGUAGCUGACUUUUUAUAGCAACAAAUGAUAAGAUAGUUGAAGAACUCGCAUCAAAAUUGAGAUAACACUUUGAGUUAAGGGAAGAAAAUAAUUCCUUAAAUAUAAAAAUUAUAAAAAAUAAGGAUGUGAUAUAAUUAUCGGAAAUAUUAUACAAAGAACAAAUUUUAAGGAAAUACCGCCUAGAAAAAUUUGCGAUCCAGUAAAAUAGCCAGUAAGAAAAUUUAAAUGCAUUUAAAAGAAGAUUUAGAUGCAUAUAAGGUUCGCCGAAACCGGUGUCACGUAAAGUGAAAAAUGAAAUCGAAGGUGAAAAUAAAAAAAGAGAGAAUUUAUUUGCUAACAUCUUGUUUACACUAAUGACAGUUUACUUCCGAACUCCAGCCGUGACUUUCAAAGACUGGAGCUCUUACAACUCGGCCGCAUCCCUACACAAGUGGUUAUCUUAUGAAGUAGGGAGGACCCCCGGGUGUUGGGUCCGGGCCCUGGACUCCCUCUGCCGGGUGCACUCCCUCGCCGUCCUGUGGGUGUCCGUCAUUAGCCUAUCGGUUUUGAAGCGUGCCGGUCGUGACACCGGAUAAGACCGAAUAUCAACAGUUACCGAGACCACUGAUUAGUGGUAGUAGAUUUACUGCAUUGGCAACUAAAUGAUUGCGGAUUUCGUCAAUACCACCUAAUGACAAAAUCCGCAAUGACUUAGUUGCUAACUCAACAUAUAGCUAUCGGAACGAGACCUGAUAUUUUUUACACGGCAAGUAAAUUGUCACAAUAUAAUCGGAACUCAAAAGCAAUACAUUUUACCGCUGUGAAAGGGGUAUAUACCUGAAUUGUAAUUGAAAAUCAGUAGACGCCAGUUGUAUGGAAAACAAAAAAUUAAAUUUGUAGAAAGAAAGAGAGAAAAAAAAGAUCAGACAAGAUCAAGUCGUGCUUUAUUCGUUUUACAAUUGAAUAUGUUUGCAGAACAGCAAUGAAUAUUUCAGUAUCAGCAUUUUACAAUCAAUUUAAAGAUGUCUAAUACAAAAAUUGAAAUGUAAUAUAUCGUAAUAGUAAAAUAAUUAAGAAAUAUGAUAAAUACAGGCAUGUAUGUAUGAGUAACGUUUUGUAUGUAAAUUAAUUUUUAAGAAAUGAACAGGUGCUAUAUUUUAACUUUUCAGUUUCGACAAAAAAAAAUAAUUCCUUUAACAAAUUUUGUAGAAAUUCAAAUCAGAAAAUAAAAUAAAAAUGUAUACAACUUUCUA